rnacentral:rRNA from 1 species
GAUGAACGCUGGCGGCGUGCCUAAUACAUGCAAGUCGAGCGAACAGACGAGGAGCUUGCUCCUCUGAGGUUAGCGGCGGACGGGUGAGUAACACGUGGAUAACCUACCUAUAAGACUGGGAUAACUUCGGGAAACCGUAGCUAAUACCGGAUAAUAUAUUGAACCGCAUGGUUCAAUAGUUAAAGACGGUUUUGCUGUCACUUAUAGAUGGAUCCGCGCCGCAUUAGCUAGUUGGUAAGGUAACGGCUUACCAAGGCAACGAUGCUUAGCCGACCUGAGAGGGUGAACGGCCAGACUGGAACUGAGACAGGGUCCAGACUCCUACGGGAGGAAGCAGUAGAGAAUCUUCCGCGAUGGGCGAGAGCCUGACGGAGCAACGCCGCGUGAGUGAUGAAGGUCUUCGGAUCGUAAAACUCUGUUAUUAGGGAAGAACAAAAGUGUAAGUAACUGUGCACAUCUUGACGGUACCUAGUCAGAAAGCCACGGCUAACUACGUG